GAUGAAGAACGUAGCGAAAUGCGAUAAGUAAUGUGAAUUGCAGAAUUCAGUGAAUCAUCGAAUCUUUGAACGCACAUUGCGCCCGCCAGUAUUCUGGCGGGCAUGCCUGUUCGAGCGUCAUUACAACCCUCAGGCCCCCGGGCCUGGCGUUGGGGAUCGGCGGAGCCCCCCGUGGGCACACGCCGUCCCCCAAAUGCAGUGGCGGUCCCGCCGCAGCUUCCAUCGCGUAGUAGCUAACACCUCGCGACUGGAGAGCGGCGCGGCCACGCCGUAAAACACCCAACUCUUCUGAAGUUGACCUCGAAUCAGGUAGGAAUACCCGCUGAACUAAAGCAUAUCAAUAAGCGGAGGA
rnacentral:misc_RNA from 1 species